GGUGAGCCGUGGACCAGAAUCCGUGUUCCCGUCUGAUCCGUGGAUCAGAAUCUGUGCACAAAACGAAUUAAAGGCAAGACCGGGUUAUUUGGAAGCUGAAGGCUUCGGGUCAAAGGCAACUAGCGAUGCCGGCGAGCGGCCAUGAAGUUCCUGAUGCAGCCAAUCAGUAGAUCCAGUCUGCUUGAGGAGGUGGGGAAGAGCUUGGUGCCGGCUCAUGUGGUUGUCAAUGACUCUGCCGUGGUGGAUCUGCAAGUGGCACCGCAGGGAGGCGGCACAACAUGUCAACAUCAGAUGGUGGACAGCGGCUAAGCACAAACCUUCUUGGCGCAGGAGGGGGCGGCGAACAGAAGGGAGAGCUCACCAGCAAUGUCGGAGCUGUCGACGGGGAAGAGGAAUCCCCAAGCACCGGGGUGGAACAAAGGCUAAGGAUUAAUGCUGCCGCCCCAGCAGAACACCGUGCCCACCUUGUGUGAGUGUGUUUGAGAAGGCAUUCAGGUGUUUUGCGAAGAACCCAUCUGAAAAUGUGAUCACACCUGUUCUUAGCACUACUUUCGACUCUUUUGUCGGUACGCCUUCUACAACUUGUAUUCGUGAGAGAAGGGUUUUGGCAUCCGGUAUGGCAAGAGAUGGCUAAAUGUCGAGAGGACAGAGUGCAUGCAGGAGAUAGUUGGUGGGUGCUCGGGUAAAGCUGGGGUCGAGAAAACAAGGACGAGCAGAGGACAACGGGUGGUACACUGGAGAGCAUAGAGACAAUCAGAAAUCUCAACAGGGGAAAUGAACCCUCAAGCGCGAGGAUUGUCUAAGGGUUCGUUCUGAUUUCGCAGGGAACAAUUCUCGCGUUGGCUUAUGAUAGAAGCUGGCGGCACCCAGUAAGGCCCCUUGCCCGUCUUGCUAGAGUGCUUUCAAGAAAGCAGUGAGGGCUUUUGCUGAGAACCACUCAGGCAAUGUCAUUGUCCUGAAACCGGGUAUAAGUUUUGACUCGCUUGGAGAGGCGUACGACUUCUGCAACAUGUACUCUUGGGAGAAAGGAUUUGGAACAAUCGGUGACUCCAUUCUUCUUAACCAAGUUCAGUCAUUGAUUUGUCUUCAGUCUAAGGCACCACGGUAUGCACAUGACGCGGCAGAGCCCAAGAACAUAUCAUUUGGCAAAGGCCACUGGAACAAUACAUACUACGUCUUAGCAACUACUAACAUGAAGUUGCGCUCAGGCUCUGUCGUAGGCUAAAGAGUUGAGGAUGGGCCUGUUAUACUGCAACAAAGAAGCCAAUUGUACAAAAUCUUGCAUACUCGGUCUGCAACUUGCAUCAGUUUUGGUCUAGCCUUGGUUCUUCUCAUCAUGGUGCCUUCCUCGAGGGUUUUGAAUUGCUUGGUUCAACAAAAAAAGCAAGGAACACAUUCUCCUCUGUGCCUCUUUAGACAAAAAGUUUCUACGCAAAUUGAUGAUAUGCAUGUAAGCAUGGCAUUACCUAAGUCAUUAAUCCAUUGUCAGU